ensembl:lncRNA
AGACAGUAGGAACAGAAGGAGCUGAAGCAGAAACAUUCCCUGAGCUGCAGAGACCAACUCUGGGAAGAAGACGUUGGACUGUAAGAUAUGACAGAAGACUGACCUCCCAGAGGUAGUUAACAGUGCAGAAUAUACAAGCAGAAAAUGGAAUCCAAAGCAAAAAGCAAGUGCCUCCCAGCUUGGAAAAUACUACACUUAAAAUCAGAAAAGUGAUUGGUCUUGAACCAGGAUAUUUUUCUUCCCCCCACAGGAUUCAAGAGCUUGCAUCACUGAAAUGAGAACAAGCUCUUCCCCGCUGCAUAUGGCAUAGAGGGGAUGGAGAAUGAGAAAAGAAAAACCUGCUCCAGCAUUGUAUCUUCCAUGAUGCAGGAGAAAACCUACUCUGUUUCAGGAGUUCCUCGUCUCACAGAGACCACCUCUGCAGUCCACAGCUACCAAACUUUGUCACAAGCACUUUGUGCACAUAUACAUCUUGAGAAGCACUUCUCAGAACCUGAAUACAAUUUAGUAUUCCUGGGUCUCAUGGUCACCACGAAGACUGUAUUACGAACCUCCCUGAUGCAUCCAUUACAUACCUGAUGUAAAGAUCUGUGAAUGUCACCGUCCAAUGCUAGUACAGCAUCAUCUAAAUGACUGCCAGCAAAUGAAUUAACUGAUGAAGAAAGGUAGUUUUACAAGAACUAAGCAGACAUUAUAAUCCUAUAUGAGCCAUAUUGUGAGCAUAAUCUUUGAGGACUUUGUCCAAUGGAGUGAUACUUCCAGUACCAAAUGAAUUGCCCUCUUGAACAGCAGUUCCUUCAGCUGAGUUGCCUUCCUGUCUGUAGGAACACAAUUAUUUUCUAGCAGGAUCCUUAACGAAGAUCAGAAAAAGAUCUUGGCUUCUACUUUAUCACUAAUAAUACUCUUUGAAUAUUGGUAAGCAUUACUGUCUAAUUGUUCACCCUUAAUAAUUUUGGUAAAGUAUCAUUAAAGACCUAUAUUCAAAAACCAAACAACAUAAGCCAAGCAACACAGAAAAUAGCAUGUGUUAUGCCAUUUCUGAUUUCUGGUUAAUAAAGAAAUCACACCAACCCAUCCAAAUAACCAACCAACCAAACAAACAAAAAACCACAAAAACAAAACAUGGAAAUCACCCUAAUUCUUUCCCUUUUUACAUAGUUGUAAUUUCCUAGACAUUUAAGCCAGUAAGGCAAAGACUUGAUAAUGUGAAUGUGUCUGAAUGUGAAAAUAAAACAAUUAAGUUUCUUCAUGGAUGGAUGAAGAAAACAAUAUUCAGUAAAUUUAAGCACAGUGUCUUGGGCAGAGCAAUAGAGAGAAAAAGCAACGGACAGGUUAGUCAUGGCUGUCUUCUUCGAGCAGAGAUGCUUUCACUGGAUUUCUGAUAAGGGAGUUAGCUAUGGCUGUGAAUUUUAACUUCUGUUAUAAAACCAAUAUAAAUUCUACUUGUGAAAUUCAAAUAAGCUUUAAACUGAGUUAAGCAUUGCUCAGUAGGCAUCCUAUUGACAAAAAUGAAUUAUUCUCAGUAAAAAGCAUUGGUUAAAUAUAAAUUAUGUCUCUCUGAAACAACCCCCAUAAAAUAUAGGAAAGGAUGUCUUUACAAGCAUAAUAGGAAACAAUGGAUGUACAUCAUAUGUAGCAAAAUAAUUAUGGAAUGCAUCUUUAUCACAUAUGGCCAAUGUUUCCAAUUAUUUCAGUAAAGUAAAGCCAUUUUUUUUCCAUUAAUGAUGUUGCAGAUAACUCACUCAGAGGAUCAUUAUUGGUAGGAAGACUCUCAAUCUCUUUAAUGAGGAGUUCACAGGCCUUCAAAUGAUUCUGAGGUAAUUAUAAAAUUGAAUCAAAAGCAAGAAAGAAAACUUUUAUUGUAGAGGCAUAUAACAAGCUAAUGUGGAAUUGAAGAGUUCCCCAGAGAGUGAAUAAAUGUGGGGUGGCCUGAGUGUGUUUUUACUUCUUACUGAAUAUUUAAUUGUAAGGAUAUGUUGAUAAACUGUUGCCAGUUUCUUCACUGAAGAUAAAGAAUAUUAUUUUCUCACAAAAAAAAUUAUGAACAUGUAUAAACGUGUGGAUAGAUAAAAUAGUUUGCUCUUUGCCUGCAACAUUAUAAGCGUUUCAUUUGUAUAUAUAUAUUGCAGUUUGCAAAUAUUAAUUGUUAAAAUACAUGUGUCUGAGUGAAGAGAUGUCAGAAUGCCUUCUGUUAAUUCUAGAACAUUUUUUGGUCAGCAGCAGAAGUACUGACAGUGACAAUCUGUUGUUUUAAUUAGUUUACUCCCUUUGUCUCAUUAUACAUGAUUCUGCAGUGAAGGGUAUAUUUUAUGUAUACCUUAAUAGCCUAUGGAAUAGGCUGACAGAUGAAGCCACAUCAAAAGUUUCUCUUGAAUACUCGGUUCAUUUCUGAUGUUCAUGUCUCAGAAUAUGGAAGGGAAAAAAAGAAAGGAUCUAAAGACAAUGCAAAUAAUUAAAAUUUUGAAAAGAAUUGUACCUCAUUCAGGAAAUACAUAAGGGAACAGAAAAUACAUAUUCAAUAAUGAAUAGUAUAGAAAAGAGAAACUGUUUUUCCAAAUUGAUCCUGAUACACGAAAAAGAAAUCAAUCAGAUAUAAAUGAGAAACUUAAAGAACAAUAUUGCACAAAGUAUUCAACUUUUAUAACUCAUUGAUUCAAGUAUACCAAUAAAUAAAUGUACAC